GUUCCAUUUCUCGCCGAGCCGCGAUCUUCACGUGUCUUUUCCUUGUUUUUUUUAAUUUUUAAUUUUCCUGUCAUUUUUAAUUUAUUUUAUUUUAUUUUCUCCUUCUCAGCUUCCUUUCUCCUUCUCUGACGGUGAUUUUCGAAUUUUGUUAUAUUCAUCUCUCUCUUUCUCAGCGGCUGAGAGGUUCAUUCCAAAGAAAGAGAGAAAUGGAAGGACGAAAGCCGACUGGUUCAUCUUCUUCAUUAACAAAUCAGUUGUUUGGUUCCAAGGAUUCUGAUUCUUCUUCGGGGAUUUUUGGCUCCAUCUUUUCACCUCCUUCUAAGGUCUUAGGAAGAGAGUCUCUGCGUUCUGAAUCAAUGGAGAAAAAGCAAGAGCCCUGGAACAACAAACAUGGAGUUCCUGGUGAUGCCUCUAAAACUAGUGAAACUGAGAGUCCAGGCACUCCAAACAAGGACCUGAGUUCGUUUUAUCAGGAACAAAGAGUACAACCGUGUCAUCUCAGUUCAUCAAUCUAUUAUGGUGGUCAAGACAUCUAUUCUGAGCCCCAGAAUAAGCAGAGCCCUGAAAUUAACUCUACGUUUAAAAAUGAUGGAGAAGAUGAUUCAGGGAGUGCUUCGAGAGGGAAUUGGUGGCAAGGGUCUCUCUAUUAUUAAGAGUUAACUUGCCAGCGCUUACAUACUUACCAAGGUAUCAUACAUCUGAGAAAUUCACUCCUUGGAUGCCUUGAUUGUAUGCCAUCAACCUUUUUUAAUUUAGUUUGGAUUGCUUACAUUUGACUAUAUGCCUUCAAGCAGAGCUGGUUGUUAUUGCUUCGUCCAGCUAUAUGGCAACAUCGCUCAGUAGCCAGAUAGUGAUAUGCACUUCUUUUACAGAAAACCUGUUUUACUGUAAAUGAUGUGAACUUGGUGUUUUUAAUGUAAAGGAUGCUUGGUUUAGACUUCAUUUACAACUCUUCUCCAUGAUAGUGGAGUGGUGGGAUCUUUGAACAUAAGAUCGUAAUAAGUAUCUUUAUCAGUUGUUGAACUCUUGAUCUUGUUUCCUGCUUUGUAUGGAAUUUGUGUAUAACUUCACUCCUAUUGUAUUCAGUCCUUCUGAAUACAAGUCAUUUUGGUACUAUUGCUCAUACUGGGUCUAAAUACAAGUAAUGGAAUGUGUGUAAUGUUGAUCAUA